rnacentral:SRP_RNA from 1 species
GCCGGGCGUGGUGGCGUGCGCCUGUAAUCCCAGCUACUCAGGAGGCUGAGGCAGGAGAAUCACUUGAACCCGGGAGGUGGAGGUUGCAGUGAGCUGAGAUCGCACCACUGCACUCCAGCCUGGGCAACAGAGUGAGACUCCGUCUCAA